UGACCACAUCAUGUUGAAACACUGGUUCCCAUAUGAUCACUGAAGUUAAGUAACAUUGAACCUGGUCAAUACCUAGGUGGGUGACCGCUUGAGAAUUCGAGGUGCUGUAAG